GACACACACCUAGCUCAAGCUAGUAAAACUAGUUUUCUGGGUUGAACUCUAAAUGACUCAACUAAGCACAAAAUUGAUUGAAAAACACUUUGAACAUUAUAAAUACACACUUGGACACUUAAAUGCUUAUUUAUAUCAAUAUGGACACGUUAAGCACGCAAAUUUCUCUCAAAACAAGGAAUAAGCUAGAAUAAUGAUACAAAAGUGUAUAAAACCACCU
rnacentral:lncRNA from 1 species